rnacentral:misc_RNA from 1 species
AAACAGAUUAGCUUUGAAUACAACCUGCUCCAUAAUUUCAAUUGACGCACUGCCUCUGUCGUCGACAGGAAGGGAUCCACCGGCUACUCUCGUUUCUAUCAACGGGGAACAACGACCCAACGACGAGAGAGAUUUUAGCCCACGUCGAUGGAGCCCGGGAAAAUUAAGCUGUGCAGAAACCAGCACGAAGGACGGUAAUUAAGGAUACGACAAUGGAAAAAGGAGGACGGGUUCAUCGACUGCGUAAAGAAGUAACAGAUGAUAGCGUCAGGAUAAUAAGG